rnacentral:rRNA from 1 species
UACGUAGGUUGCAAGCGUUGUCCGGAAUUAUUCGGCGUAAAGAGCUAGUAGGCGGUUUGUCGCGUCUGAUGUGAAAGCUCGGGGCUCAACCCCGGAACUGCAGUGGGUACGGGCAGACUAGAGUGCGGUACAGGAGACUGGAAUUCCUGGUGUAGCGGUGGAAUGCGCAGAUAUCAGGAGGAACACCAGUGGCGAAGGCGGGUCUCUGGGCCGCAACUGACGCUGAGGAGCGAAAGCGUGGGGAGCGAACAGG